rnacentral:rRNA from 1 species
AUUACCGCGGCUGCUGGCACGGAGUUAGCCGGUGCUUCUUCUGCGGGUAACGUCAAUCACUGUGGUUAUUAACCACAAUGCCUUCCUCCCCGCUGAAAGUACUUUACAACCCGAAGGCCUUCUUCAUACACGCGGCAUGGCUGCAUCAGGCUUGCGCCCAUUGUGCAAUAUUCCCCACUGCUGCCUCCCGUAGGAG